rnacentral:rRNA from 1 species
GGAGGGGGUAAGCGUUGUUCGGAAUUACUGGGCGUAAAGGGCUCGUAGGCGGCCAACUAAGUCGGACGUGAAAUCCCUCAGCUUAACUGGGGAACUGCGUCCGAUACUGGAUGGCUUGGAUUCGGGAGAGGAAUGCGGAAUUCCAGGUGUAGCGGUGAAAUGCGUAGAUAUCUGGAGGAACACCGGUGGCGAAGGCGGCAUUCUGGAUCGACAUUGACGCUGAGGAGCGAAAGCCAGGGGAGCAAACGGGAUUAGAUACCCCGGUAGUCCUGGCCCUAAACGAUGAAUGCUUGGUGUGGCGGGUAUCGAUCCCUGCCGUGCCGAAGCUAACGCAUUAAGCAUUCCGCCUGGGGAGUACGGUCGCAAGGCUG